GUAAGUAAAAUAGUACAAUGAAAAAUGGGCCACCAGUUCCCAACGGAUCACUGAAGUUAAGUAACGUUGCGCAUGGUUGGUAUCUGGAUGGUGACCAUCUGGGGAAUCCGCGUGCUGCUGGGU
rnacentral:rRNA from 1 species